AAUCAAUAAACAAGGGCCCGAUCCCCGAGGCCCGCGGCAUCUCGACGGCUCGGAGGGGCGAGUGAGCGAUCGAGGUUUGGGCCUCAGCGGAGAUCCUGAGCACAGGCCCCCCACCUUCCCCUCGCCUCCGCGGACCAAAGAUGAGUGAGGAUCUCCCCGUUGGAGGAAGAGGGAGUUGAAAGAGGCUUCCACUCUGAAAAAGGUCAGUGUUAAGGUGCAAAUAACAAAGAGAUUUACAAUCAUCAGCACCACUAUCCCCAUGUCACCCUCCAAAAGCAACAGUUAAAUCUUAGAAAACGGACAGGAACUCCCAGGCUGACACAUGGAAGUGAGAUGGAGCAUGAGAGGCAUUUUUGGGCCUCUAGCCUCCAUAGCUGUGUGGCCUAGGUUCUUCUCUUCUCUGCCCAGUGUUUGCAGCACUGCCUCUGCCUCUUAUGUCCCCCUGCUUUCCUCAUUUUGAGGCAUCCAUGCUUCUUUGUGACACCCCCCCACCCAAAACAGGCAGAGUCUAAGAUGGGCAUGUACCCACUCCAGCCUCAAGCUUGUAUCUGUAUCCAUAUCCAGGGGCAUAAACAAGAACUGAGGUAGCCACUGAUUUAACUUAGAGCACUCUCAAAGUUCAGGUCAGCAUAUGUGUGUGCCUGGUGUGGUGGGGAGCUUUCCCCUAGGACAAAGAGACUUUCCCUCCCAUUUUUGCCAUUGUGCUAGUUAAAAAAAAAAAUUCCUGACAAGGAAGAAUUCCCUGAAGAUGGUGGGAGUGGAAAUAAUGACCACUGAAAUGAUACUUCAUUUCUGGCUCCUAGGGGAAAAUGUUUUUAAAUUGUAUUUUGAGAAGACCAAGAUAGUCUAAAGUUUACACUGUUGUAAUUUACUAUAGGGAGAGGGCACAAGAAACUGGGCCUCAAAAACAGAAAAUGAAAAGUCGAUCUGGGGGAAGAUUUUUAAAUACGUGGGUCAGAGGGACAGAGAGGAGAUGAGGCGAUCAAUCUUAGCCCUCUGACAGCUCCCUCCUAUUGCAUCAAAGAAUUUGGUUCUUUGGGAAAGCAAAGGGAACAGCCAAAAUUUCACAUCCCUUAAAAAGCCCUGGGGGUGGGGGUGGGGGUGCAAAAGAGAAAGGUGAUUCUGGGAGAGCUGGGAAACAGAUGGGAAAUAGGGACAGAGGGAAGGCGCUAAGUUGGAUGGAAAGUUUGCCUGGAGAACUCUCACGGCUCUGGCCUCCCCUCCCCCUCCUGUCUCUCUGCUGCCCAGCCAGGAAGAGAAGGCUGGUUAGCAAAGAAAUGGCAACCGAGCCCGGAGCUGGAACUAGAAAUUUUUCUGUCAAUGUUGUAUCUGCGUGGGUGGUGACCCAAUGGUGGUUGGGCUUCGGGUCACGUGACAACUUCUUUGUAGCUCCGGAAGAGGACUGUGAAGUUUAGGUUUCGUGGAAGAAACCGAGAAUUGAGGAAAAAAAAAUCAAGAUUUCGGGGGAAUUACCUACAAAGAUGUAAGGUGUGUUAAUUUGGGUGCUUCUUGGAUUCUACCCUGAGGAGGAGGCGCAUGAUCUUGAUCUGCCGCUCGCUGAGGUUCAGCAGGUUGGCCAUCUCCACACGGCGAGGCCGGCACAGGUAGCGGUUGAAAUGGAACUCCUUCUCCAGCUCCACCAGCUGCGCGCUCGUGUACGCCGUUCGCGCCCUCUUGGAC